rnacentral:rRNA from 1 species
AUGGGCUCGUCCCACGGCUGGCUCAUCACAGCAGACGACCGCUCCCAUCUCAUCCUUGUCAACCCCAUAACUGGCGCUCAGGUCGCCAUGCCACCACCGGAAAGCAUGCACAACGUCAAGCUCCGUUAUGACGAGGAUGACCGCAAACUUGAUGGCUACGAUCUUAUUUACGUGGACACGGUGCCGCACCAAAAAAAAAAGCCAAAUGGACUUUCACUGGAGCAAGGUCGCUUUUCCUUCUACAUGAUUGUAGCCAUGUCGUGCGACCCGUCCAGUAAAGAUUGCGUCGUGGUACAUGUACACAAGCCUCAAAACCUGCUCUCCUAUGCUAGGGUUGGGGACACCAAGUGGACUUGGGUUGAUACACACGAAGAAUGCAAGAGCUACGUUGAUGUUUGUUACAAUAAGGGCGAUGGUUUGUUCUAUGCUCUUCGAGGUUGUGGUGAUGUGCAUACCAUUGAUCUCUGUGGACAAUCUCCACUGGUGAAUAUUGUCUACAAGCACAAGGCAGAUUAUGAUACCGACAGUAAGUAUAUUGUACAAGCACCAUAG